rnacentral:rRNA from 1 species
UACAGAGGUCUCAAGCGUUGUUCGGAUUCAUUGGGCGUAAAGGGUGCGUAGGUGGCGCGCUAAGUCAGGUGUGAAAUUUCGGAGCUUAACUCCGAAACUGCAUUUGAUACUGGCGUGCUUGAGGACUGGAGAGGAGACUGGAAUUCACGGUGUAGCAGUGAAAUGCGUAGAUAUCGUGAGGAAGACCAGUGGCGAAGGCGGGUCUCUGGGCCACUACUGACGCUGAGAAGCGAAAGCAUGGGGAGCGAACAGG